GGACUACACGGGUAUCUAAUCCUGUUCGCUCCCCACGCUUUCGCUCCUCAGCGUCAGUAUCGGCCCAGAGACCCGCCUUCGCCACCGGUGUUCCUCCUGAUAUCUGCGCAUUUCACCGCUACACCAGGAAUUCCAGUCUCCCCUACCGAACUCUAGCUAGCCCGUAUCGACUGCAGUCCCACAGUUGAGCCGUGGGUUUUCACAGUCGACGCGACAAGCCGCCUACGAGCUCUUUACGCCCAAUAAAUCCGGACAACGCUUGCGCCCUACGUCUUACCGCGGCGGCUGGCAC
rnacentral:rRNA from 1 species